rnacentral:rRNA from 1 species
ACUUUCAACAACGGAUCUCUUGGUUCUCGCAUCGAUGAAGAACGCAGCGAAAUGCGAUACGUAAUGUGAAUUGCAGAAUUCCGUGAAUCAUCGAAUCUUUGAACGCACAUUGCGCCCUCUGGUAUUCCAGGGGGCAUGCCUGUUUGAGCGUCAUUUCCUUCUCAAACAGCAAUGUUUGGUUGUGAGUGAUACUCUUUCGGAGUUAGCUUGAAAUUGCUGGCCGAUGGCUGUUGUGGUUGAGUGUCUCCCUUCGGGGAGAGCGCUUGCUGCGUUAAGGGACGUCCUGCUGGACAUCUUCGUAUUAGGUUCUACCAACUUCGAAGACGGUUAGCGGGGAGUUCUGCAGUGAGUGUAGUGCUUUUACUACGUUGCACCAUGGCGAACAGUGUUCUUUUAAGUUUGACCUCAAAUCAGGUAGGAUUACCCGCUGAACUUAAGCAUAUCAAUAAGCGGAGGAAAAGAAACCAACCGGGAUUGCCUUAGUAACGGCGAGUGAAGCGGCAAAAGCUCAAAUUUGAAAUCUAGUACCUUCGGUGCUCGAGUUGUAAUUUGUAGAGGGAUACUUUGGGGCCGUUCCUUGUCUAUGUUCCUUGGAACAGGACGUCAUAGAGGGUGAGAAUCCCGUGUGGCGAGGAGUGCGGUUCUAUGUAAAGUGCCUUCGAAGAGUCGAGUUGUUUGGGAAUGCAGCUCUAAGUGGGUGGUAAAUUCCAUCUAAAGCUAAAUAUUGGCGAGAGACCGAUAGCGAACAAGUACAGUGAUGGAAAGAUGAAAAGAACUUUGAAAAGAGAGUGAAAAGUACGUGAAAUUGUUGAAAGGGAAGGGCAUUUGAUCAGACAUGGUGUUUUGCGCCCUCUGCUCCUUGUGGGUGGGGGACUCUCGCAGCUCACUGGGCCAACAUCAGUUUUGGUGGUCGGACAAAUCCGUAGGAAUGUAGCUUACCUCGGUAAGUGUUAUAGCCUGCGGGAAUACGGCCAGCCGGGACUGAGGACUGCGACUUUUGUCAAGGAUGUUGGCAUAAUGGUUAUAUGCCGCCCGUCUUGAAACACGGACCAAGGAGUCUAACGUCUAUGCGAGUGUUUGGGUGUAAAACCCGUACGCGUAAUGAAAGUGAACGUAGGUUGGGGCCCUCUCGGGGGUGCACAAUCGACCGAUCCUGAUGUUUUCAGAUGGAUUUGAGUAAGAGCAUAGCUGUUGGGACCCGAAAGAUGGUGAACUAUGCCUGAAUAGGGUGAAGCCAGAGGAAACUCUGGUGGAGGCUCGUAGCGGUUCUGACGUGCAAAUCGAUCGUCGAAUUUGGGUAUAGGGGCGAAAGACUAAUCGAACCAUCUAGUAGCUGGUUCCUGCCGAAGUUUCCCUCAGGAUAGCAGAAGCUCGUAUCAGUUUUAUGAGGUAAAGCGAAUGAUUAGAGGUUCCGGGGUCGAAAUGACCUUGACCUAUUCUCAAACUUUAAAUAUGUAAGAAGUCCUUGUUACUUAAUUGAACGUGGACAUUUGAAUGAAGAGCUUUUAGUGGGCCAUUUUUGGUAAGCAGAACUGGCGAUGCGGGAUGAACCGAACGUGGAGUUAAGGUGCUGGAAUACACGCUUAUCAGACACCACAAAAGGUGUUAGUUCAUCUAGACAGCCGGACGGUGGCCAUGGAAGUCGGAAUCCGCUAAGGAGUGUGUAACAACUCACCGGCCGAAUGAACUAGCCCUGAAAAUGGAUAGCGCUCAAGCGUGUUACCUAUACUCCACCGUCAGGGUUGAUUUAUGCCCUGACGAGUAGGCAGGCGUGGAGGUCAGUGACGAAGCCUAGGGUGUGAACCCGGGUCGAACGGCCUCUAGUGCAGAUCUUGGUAGUAGCAAAAUUCAAAUGAGAACUUUGAAGACUGAAGUGGGGAAAGGUUCCACGUCAACAGCAGUUGGACGUGGGUUAGUCGAUCCUAAGAGAUAGGGAAACUCCGUUUCAAUGCGUCUGAUUUUACAGACCACUAUCGAAAGGGAAUCCGGUUAAGAUUCCGGAACCUGGAUAUGGAUUCUUCACGGUAACGUAACUGAAUGUGGAGACGUCGGCACAAGCCCUGGGAGGAGUUAU